UACAGAGGAUGCAAGCGUUAUCCGGAAUGAUUGGGCGUAAAGCGUCUGUAGGUGGCUUUUAAGUCCGCCGUCAAAUCCCAGGGCUCAACUCUGGACAGGCGGUGGAACUACCAAGCUUGAGUACGGUAGGGCAGAGGGAAUUUCCGGUGGAGCGGUGAAAUGCGUAGAGAUCGGAAAGACACCAACGGCGAAAGCACUCUGCUGGGCCGACACUGACACUGAGAGACGAAAGCUAGGGAGCGAAUGGG
rnacentral:rRNA from 1 species